UAGUGGAUGCCUUGGCAUGUAGAGGCGAUGAAGGACGUGGCACGCUGCGAUAAGUCUCGGGGAGUUGCGAGCAGACUUUGAUCCGAGAAUUUCCGAAUGGGGAAACCCACCGUUUCGGCGGUAUCGCACACUGAAUACAUAGGUGUGCGAGGCAAACCCGGGGAACUGAAACAUCUAAGUACCCGGAGGAAAGGACAUCAAUUGAGACUCCGUUAGUAGUGGCGAGCGAACGCGGACCAGGCCAGUGCUCUUAUCAAUCGAACCGGAACCGUCUGGAAAGUCGGGCCGCAGUGGGUGACAGCCCCGUACGGGUAGGAAAGAUAAGAGACUCGAGUAGGGCGGGACACGUGAAAUCCUGUCUGAACAUGGGGGGACCAUCCUCCAAGCCUAAGUACUCCUUAUCGACCGAUAGUGAACAAGUACCGUGAGGGAAAGGUGAAAAGCACCCCGACGAGGGGAGUGAAACAGUUCCUGAAACUGGAUGCCUACAAACAGUUGGAGCCCAAGGUUCGUCCUGGGUGACAGCGUACCUUUUGUAUAAUGGGUCAGCGACUUAAUCUAGCAAGCAAGCUUAAACCGUUAGGUGUAGGCGUAGCGAAAGCGAGUCUUAAUAGGGCGACUAAGUUUGUUGGAUUAGACCCGAAACCGAGUGAUCUAGGUAUGAGCAGGUUGAAGGUGCAGUAACAUGCACUGGAGGACCGAACCCACGCCUGUUGAAAAAGGCGGGGAUGACUUGUGCCUAGGGGUGAAAGGCCAAUCAAACUCGGAAAUAGCUGGUUCUCCGCGAAAUCUAUUUAGGUAGAGCGUUAGAUGAAUACCAUCGGGGGUAGAGCACUGGAUGGGCUAGGGGGUCUCACCGACUUACCAAACCUAACCAAACUCCGAAUACCGAUGAGUAAUAUCUGGCAGACACACUACGGGUGCUAAGGUCCGUAGUGGAAAGGGAAACAGCCCUGACCGCCAGCUAAGGUCCCUAAGUUAUGGCUAAGUGGGAAAGGAUGUGAGAGUGCAUAGACAACCAGGAUGUUGGCUUAGAAGCAGCCAUCAUUUAAAGAAAGCGUAACAGCUCACUGGUCAAGCGCUCCUGCGCGGAAAAUGUAACGGGGCUUAAGUGAUACACCGAAGCUGCGGAUUCGAUCUUUGAUCGAGUGGUAGCGGAGCGUUCCGUAGGCCGAUGAAGGCAGACCCGCGAGGGCUGCUGGAGGUAUCGGAAGUGAGAAUGCUGACAUGAGUAGCGAUAAAGAGGGUGAGAGACCCUCUCGCCGAAAGUCCAAGGUUUCCUGCGCAAUGCUAAUCAGCGCAGGGUUAGUCGGCCCCUAAGGCGAGGGCGAAAGCCGUAGUCGAUGGGAAACAGGUUAAUAUUCCUGUACCUGGAGGUAGUGACGAAUCCCGUGUGUUGUUUACCCUUAUUGGAUUGGGUAGGCCGCGAAGGGGUUCCAGGAAAUAGCUCCUCCAUUAUAGACCGUACCCCAAACCGACACAGGUGGUCAGGUAGAGAAUACCAAGGCGCUUGAGAGAACUCGGGUAAAGGAACUAGGCAAAAUGGUGCCGUAACUUCGGGAGAAGGCACGCUGGUGGUAGGUGAGACCCCUUGCGGGUGGAGCUGACGCCAGUCGAAGAUACCAGGCCCCUGCGACUGUUUAUUAAAAACACAGCACUGUGCAAACACGAAAGUGGACGUAUACGGUGUGACGCCUGCCCGGUGCCGGAAGGUUAAUUGAUGGGGUUAGCAUUCGUGCGAAGCUCUUGAUCGAAGCCCCGGUAAACGGCGGCCGUAACAAUAACGGUCCUAAGGUAGCGAAAUUCCUUGUCGGGUAAGUUCCGACCCGCACGAAAGGUGUAACGAUCUGCGUACUGUCUCGGAGAGAGACUCGGCGAAAUAGACUUGUCUGUGAAGAUGCGGACUACCUGCACCUGGACAAAAAGACCCUAUGAAGCUUUACUGUAGCUUGAGAUUGGCUCCGGGCUUUAUUUGCGCAGGAUAGGUGGGAGGCGUUGAAAAUUUCCUUGCGGGGGAAUUUGAGCCAUUGGUGAGAUACCACUCUAAUAAAGCUAGGAUUCUAACCCUAUACCGUUAUCCGGUUAGGGAACAGUCUCAGGUGGUCAGUUUGACUGGGGCGGUCGCCUCCUAAAAGGUAACGGAGGCGUGCAAAGGUUUCCUCAGACUGGUCGGAAAUCAGUCGAAGAGUGUAAAGGCAUAAGGAAGCUUGAUUGUGAGACCUACAAGUCGAACAAAGACGAAAGUCGGCCUUAGUGAUCCGGCGGUACCAAGUGGAAGGGCCGUCGCUCAACGGAUAAAAGUUACUCUAGGGAUAACAGGCUGAUCUCCCCCAAGAGUUCAUAUCGACGGGGAGGUUUGGCACCUCGAUGUCGGCUCGUCGCAUCCUGGGGCGGUAGUACGUCCCAAGGGUUGGGCUGUUCGCCCAUGAAAGCGGCACGCGAGCUGGGUUCAGAACGUCGUGAGACAGUUCGGUCCAUAUCCGGUGUAGGCGUUAGAGUAUUGAGAGGAUCUCUUCUUAGUACGAGAGGACCGGGAGAGACGUACCUCUGGUGUGCCAGUUAUCGUGCCAACGGUAGACGCUGGGUAGCCAUGUACGGUAAGGAUAACCGCUGAAAGCAUCUAAGUGGGAAGCCCACCUCAAGAUGAGUACUCUUACCAUUUAAAAUGGUUAAGGUCACGGCAAGACUAGCCGUUUGAUAGGUAUCAGGUGUAAGUGCAGUAAUGUAUUUAGCUGAGAUAUACUAAUAGACCGAUGGCUUU
rnacentral:rRNA from 1 species